rnacentral:rRNA from 1 species
AGCCAUCCUUUAAAGAAAGCGUAACAGCUCACUGGUUUAGAUUUUUUGCAACGAAAAUGUAUAGGGGCUAAAAUUAUUUACCGAAACGAUAGAUUUAAUAAAAAUUUUAAAUGGUAGCAGAACGUUCUGUAAAUCAAAGAAGAUUUAUGGCGACAUAGAUUGAAGAAAUCAGAAUUGAAAAUGUUGAUAUGAGUAGCGAUAAACAACGCGAGAAACGUUGUCGCCUUAAGUUCAAGGUUUCCGAGAAAAGGCUAAUCCGUCUCGGGUUAAUCGGUCCCUAAGAAAAAAACGAAAGUUUUAAUUCGAUGGGUAUAUAAAUAAUUUUUAAAUUCUUUUAUAAGUGACAAAACUCAAAAAUUAUUUUUAUUUUUUGGAUACAAAUAAAAGUUUUUGACAGUUUUCAAGAAAAAGCUUAUAAACAAUUUUUAGAACCGUACUGUAAACCGACACAGGUGAACAAAUUGAGAAAAUUAAGGCGCUUGGGUGAAUUAUGUUGAAGGAACUCGGCAAAAUGACUCCGUAACUUCGGGAGAAGGA